rnacentral:rRNA from 1 species
AUACAGAGGGUGCAAACGUUGUUCGGAAUUACUGGGCGUAAAGCGCGUGUAGGCGGCCAGGUAAGUCGAAUGUGAAAGCCCGGGGCUCAACCUCGGAAGAGCAUCCGAAACUGCUUGGCUCGAGUCCUGGAGAGGAAGGUGGAAUGCUUGGUGUAGAGGUGAAAUUCGUAGAUAUCAAGCGGAACACCGGUGGCGAAGGCGGCCUUCUGGACAGUGACUGACGCUGAGACGCGAAAGCGUGGGGAGC